rnacentral:rRNA from 1 species
UACUGAGGAUGCAAGCGUUAUCCGGAUUCAUUGGGUUUAAAGGGUGCGUAGGCGGCUUUUUAAGUCAGUGGUGAAAUCCUGCCGCUUAACGGUAGAAUUGCCAUUGAUACUGAAAAGCUUGAGUACGGUUGAGGUAAGCGGAAUGUGUAGUGUAGCGGUGAAAUGCUUAGAUAUUACACAGAACACCAAUUGCGAAGGCUGCUUACUAAACCGGCAACUGACGCUGAUGCACGAAAGCGUGGGGAGCGAACAGG